AGCGAACGCUGGCGGCGUGGUUAAGGCAUGCAAGUCGAGCGAUCCCGCAGCAAUGCGGGAUAGCGGCAAACGGGUGAGUAACGCGUAGGUAACCUACCCUGAAGUGUGGGACAACCCUGCGAAAGCGGGGCUAAUACCACAUGCGCUCGCAGACUGCAUGGUCUGCGAGGAAAGAUGGCCUCGACCGAAAGGUUGCUAUCACUUUAGGAGGGACCUGCG
rnacentral:rRNA from 1 species